ACUCUUGUGGUUCCGUUCUUGCAACGGAUUAAAAGGGAAACAGGUGUGAAUCCUGUACAGACGCGCUGCUGUAAGUCCUAUAAACGCUGUCGCAUCAUGUCAUUGCCGCUACUGCGGUGAGAAGGCGCGACAGAAACGGGAUAAGUCAGAAGACCUGCCUCAAGUGAUA
rnacentral:ncRNA from 1 species